rnacentral:rRNA from 1 species
UACGUAGGCAGCGAGCGUUGUUCGGAGUUACUGGGCGUAAAGGGUGUGUAGGCGGUUUUCUAAGGUUGGUGUGAAAUCUCCCGGCUCAACCGGGAGGGUGCGCCGAAAACUGGGAGACUAGAGUGCGGGAUGGGAGAGUAGAAUUCCUGGUGUAGCGGUGAAAUGCGUAGAUAUCAGGAGGAAUACCGGUGGUGUAGACGGCUCUCUGGACCGCCACUGACGCUGAGACACGAAAGCGUGGGUAGCAAACAGG